rnacentral:ncRNA from 2 species
UUCAUAUUACACAGUUAAUGUGAAUAAACUUGCUAAGAUAAUCGGGAAGUUGGUGCAAAUGCAUGUACUGGUUUAAGUCCAACACUGCCCCCGCAACGGUAAUGCUUUAUAAGCAAAGUCCGGAGACCGGCCUUGAUAUUCAUUUACUA